rnacentral:lncRNA from 1 species
GAAUACAGUUAUAGAACUGGAAUUCGCUUUUUCAUGCUAAUUUCCCUGGAUACGUUCCAGAGGACAAGGACUGUGUUGUUCAUCACAGUAUUCCAGAACUUAAAAGGAACUGGCACAUAAUUGGAGCUUACUAAUAUUCGUCAAAAAAAUGAACAAAUGAGGCAAUGACAGUGGUCUUGUGAAGCCAUGCUGGGAAUACCACAGUAAAGGACCCAAGUCACAGCUGACUCAUGCCAUUGCUCUUUGUAAUGAGGUUCUGAACCUGCCACAGGACCAGCUCCUUUGGUGAGCGAAGUGUGUGAGCGAAGGAAAGAUUCUUGGGUAGAACUUCAUAAAGUCUGUCAUAAGAUCAGCCCCAGAGGAGGAGACUUUUCAGAUCCCAUCCCUCAUACACAUUCAGAAGGCCAAGGAAACACCCUCAGGAUUGAACUAUGAUAAAGAAGGCUGAAGAAACAGAUGGGCUUUUGGACUUGGACCUCAUCCAAGGAGCUGGCUGCCUGCACUUUCACAGACCGUCAGCUUCAUCCCCAGGCCCCAAAUCCUGAAUUUGCCGUGUCAAUGAAAAACCAUCAUCAGCUUUUCUUUACAUUAAAAACUGAUUGUGAUCAUAGCAGUUUUUCCUGUUUUCUGGGAUCACUGCUGCGAAGAGGAAAAGUCACCAGAGGAUAAAAUGACACACACGCAAACUCUUCUGUGGCUGAAAUUCCCCUCACUCUUCCUGCCUCUAACCGAAAAGGAGGAUACAGACCAAGGAGCACUUCAUGAAGGUAGUCGCCUCCCUGCCCUGCUGUUUUUCACCUUCAGGAAGAAUCACUCCCUCCCAAGUAGGACCUCUCCCUGGUCACUAUAAUCCCAUGAUUUGUAAUGUGGGCUUCAUUCCGCAAAAGCCCAGGGCUGGUGUUAUCUAGGAGUGAUGGCAGUCAUUUCCAGAUCAUGAGCAGUCGCACAGAUAAGGCAAAGGGCAACUCCUGCCUAGCAUGUGUGACCCAAGAGAUGACAGAGAAGAGAAGGGAGGAAUGCACUCCUUCACCUGGUCCCUCAGCACUGAGCCAGCCUCCCAUUUGUACAUGGAAGGAAAAAACCAAGGCCCAAGUCAUACAGCUAGUAAAAGGAGGAGCCACAAUUCAAACCAGGACUGAUUUCAAAAUUCGCAUUCCUUCCACUAUGCCAUGGAAAGUACAGUAGGGUGUUUUUAUGUCAACUGCAGCCAGACACAUCAAUUUUCUCCUCUGAGAGGACAGGAUAUAAAUCUGAAGAAACAAUGUAUAUGAAAAUAUGCUCUAUGCUAUAAGGCAAGAUUUAUAUGUAAGUCAGACAUAGCAGCACCAAGAGACAAAACAGACAGUGUUCACUAGGACGAACAAGCGGCUCAAAAGGCACUGGAGUUUCCCUGUAAGAACUACAAACACCACGGGAGUGAUGUUAACUCAGAUUUUUCCAUAUAAAAGAUUCUUCCUGUAAAAAU